UUUAGGCUGACUUUAAAAACUUGUUCCACUUGCAGAUUACAUUUAUGUUAUGAUAGCUGAAUUACACAUGAAGCAAUUGUUAAAAAUCUUUAGCAUUCAUGUCAAAUGUGGAAUGAACUGUUCUCCAGAACCUUCACAAGUUGUUUUGUUUUUCUUUUCUUUAAUGCUUGUACCUUAGAACACAUUCUUUUCCAGCACAAUUAUAUUGGUUUGUGACAUCUGGUGCUGCUGCAGGGACCCGUAGACAGGAUGGUAGGUCCAUGUGUGUCCCUUCUGUUUUGCUUGCGGAAACUGAUGUAAUUUGUUCCUUUUUGUAAAGUUAGAUAGUCCAUUGUGAGCUGCAGCUCAAACAGCUUUCGAGAGGUAUUGCAAAUGUAUUUUUGCAAUAAUUAAGAAUGAAACAUUUGUGACAUGGAAUCAGAAUUAAAAUGCCCUUGUUUGUUGAAAACAUCUUGUUACUUCUUUUAAAACAAGGUUGAAUGAUUUUGCUGAUUGUAGCGUAAGACAAACCAUGUGUUUUGACAGUUAAAGUAGCGUAUCUGCUUAUAUUAGGGGUUCUCCAACAGAAUUGAACUGUUCUUUAAACCGAAGCCAACAAGCAGUACAGGAAUUUGGUUGGCAUAAGCUGUAAAAGAAGAUAAAAAAUUACAAACAGGCAUCUUGGUAAAUGCAUGACUAAGAGAGGUACAAAAAAAUGAAGGGGAGGUAAAAUGCCACUGAAGAACUCAAAUGAGGCCACAGAUGUCACACUUCUCUAAAGAGUAGAUGCCACUAAGGCAACUUUCUAUGGUUGUGCUAAGAGUUUAACUUUUGGGAACACAGCAGUGUUGCUUGUUCAUCCUGUCAAAGUAUUGCAGUUCAUUCAAGGACUGGUAUCCGUAACUCUAAUCUGAUUAUUUUACCCCAUAAAUCAAUGUGGAUUGAAACAGUUGUAUAUAGAUAUCUUCAGCAUUUGGCUUUGUGAUUUCAUUGUACUUAUGCUCAUGAAUCUAUAGGAAUACUGUGAAGUACUUCUUCA